CAGGAGAGUAAAAUAAUGGAGGAAUACAUCAAAGAAUCCUUAAGCAAAGGGCAAAUAAGAAAGUCAUCCUCACCAGCUGGUGCAGGAUUCUUUUUUGUUGAGAAAAAGGGUGGUGAGUUACGCCCUUGCAUAGACUACAGGGCACUUAAUAAAAUCACUGUAAAAAAUGCAUACCCUAUCCCACUUAUUUCCGAAUUGUUC